rnacentral:rRNA from 1 species
AUUGAACGCUGGCGGCAUGCCUUACACAUGCAAGUCGAACGGCAGCACGGGAGCAAUCCUGGUGGCGAGUGGCGAACGGGUGAGUAAUAUAUCGGAACGUGCCCGGUCGUGGGGAUAACGUAGCGAAAGCUACGCUAAUACCGCAUACGAUCUACGGAUGAAAGUGGGGGAUCGCAAGACCUCAUGCUCAUGGAGCGGCCGAUAUCUGAUUAGCUAGUUGGUGGGGUAAAGGCCUACCAAGGCUUCGAUCAGUAGCUGGUCUGAGAGGACGACCAGCCACACUGGGACUGAGACACGGCCCAGACUCCUACGGGAGGCAGCAGUGGGGAAUUUUGGACAAUGGGCGCAAGCCUGAUCCAGCAAUGCCGCGUGCAGGAUGAAGGCCU